CUAUCGAGCACCUCCUACUGCCUUCUACAGAGGCCCCUAAUGUCAUGUGGGUCGGUGGAAUUCCCGCCUGGAUGCAACCAAUUAUAGCAUACCUGAAAGACCAGGUGCUACCCACCGACAAAAAUGAGGCUUACAAGCUAAGAAGGAGGUCAGCCCAUUUCCUCUUCAUCGACGACAUUCUCUACAAGAGAAGUUUCUCCUCUCCACUUUUACGAUGUGUCGGAGGGGAGGAGGCUACAUACAUACUAAGGGAAGUCCACGAGGGAGUGUGCGGCAACCACUCUGGAGGCCUAUCUCUGGCACAAAAAAUACUGAGACAAGGAUACUACUGGCCUACCCUGAAACGGGAUGCCCUCGAAUUUGUGCGAAAAUGUGAUAAGUGCCAACGAUUCUCUCCCGUUCAAAGACGACCGUCACAGGAUUUGACUGCAGUCUCCAGCCCCUGGCCUUUCUCAAAGUGGGGUGUGGACCUCAUAGGCCCUCUGCCAAAGGGUAGAGGAGGCGCAAGUUUUGCAAUAGUGGCCAUUGAUUACUUCACGAAAUGGGUCGAAGCUGAACCACUGGCAAAAAUCACAGAAGCAAACACCUCCAAGUUCCUAUGGAAGAAUAUCAUCUGUCGGUUCGGAAUUCCCUACUCGAUCGUCUCAGACAAUGGCAGGCAGUUCGAUAACAAGAAGGUUAGAGAACUGUGUGAAGAUCUUGGCAUAAAGAAGCACUUCUCUACACCUCACCACCCACAAGCCAAUGGCCAGGUCGAAGCCGUAAACAAGACAAUCAAGCACGUCCUGAAAAGGAGGCUUGAUGUGUCCAAAGGAGCUUGGGUUGAUGAGCUGCCCCAAGUACUUUGGGCAAUCCGAACCACCACCAGGACCCCAACCGGGGAGACCCCGUUCCUCAUGGCUUUUGGGACUGAGGCGAUGAGCCCCGUGGAGGUCGGACUCCCAUCUCCACGACGUCUGCACUUUAGUGAAGUGACCAACGACGAGCUCCGGAGGCUAGACCUCGAUUUCAUUAAGGAGAAGAGGGACGACUCCCAGCUGAGGUUAGGCACCUACCAAAGGAAGAUGACAAGGUACUUCAACUCCAAAGUGAAGAAGAGGUCCUUCCGAAUCAACGACCUUGUGCUCAGGAGGGUCUUUCCAUCUUCAAAAGACCCCGGUUCCGGCUCCCUGGGACCGAACUGGGAAGGUCCAUACAAGAUCAGAGAAGAAAUCCGACCUGGAACCUAUUGGAUUGAAGACAUGGACGGCAAGGCACAACCCCGUCCAUGGAACAUUGAACACCUCAGAAUCUUUUAUCAGUGAAUUGUAUCAUGCCGGUUGACUUUCCCUGCCUUUGUAAUAUUUUUAUGGCUCAAUAAAAUGCGUUGAUUAAAUCGCCAUACUACUUUAAUAACCUCGGAGGAGAGGCUCGGGACCCUCCACUG
rnacentral:lncRNA from 1 species